CCUCUGCUUAUUGUGUCAUACGCCUCCCUUCUUCGCCUCUUCUCAGGCCCUUCCCGUCUCGCCCUCUCCGCUGUUUGCAAUCGCCUCUACCCCUCCUUUAUUUUUCCUGCCAUCGGCUCCGCCGCCUCACGGCUCCUCUGCGACAUGGCCUCCUGUAACUUGCCGAAGCACUGCGGAAUGUGGCCUUUGGUGCAUAUUGCUCAGAGGUCGCAUUUCAUUCUGGCGGGAUGUGCGGCCUGUUCGUAUGCUUAACCUUCUCCCUUCUUUUCCUUGUAAACUUCUCCUCCUUUUCAAAGAUUGGAAGUUUUUUUUUUUGGCCUUUUUCUGGGUUUGGUGUUUUUGCACUCAAAGGUUAAAAAAUUUGAUUUUGGAAGUACACGGGUGAGUUUUGAAUUGGGCAAAAAGAGAAAAGAGAUUUUUUUAAAAUUUUAUCUUUUAAGGUUUAGAUCAGUAUUUUGAUAUUUUACACCUUCCUGAUUUAAUUUUUUGGAUUAAAAAAGAAAAGACCUGAUUUUGGAACUUUCCAUGAAUUUGGCAUGAAGAUACUUGAAAGAUUCUUAUUUUUCGCUUUAUUUUUGGAUAUUUUUAUUUGUUUCUUUCGAUAUGUGGAUUACCUUUUGUAAUUUGGGAUUAAGGCUUUUUCUUCUCUUUAGAUUUUUUUUUUCCUUUUUCAUUUCUUUGGAGGAAAAAUUUUCUGUCUCACUGUAUUUUGAAUCUCUGUUGAAACACUUGGGAUCUCUUUGAUUUUUAUGGCUUGGAAAUUUUUUGAAAAUUUUUUGGGUUUUGCUUCUCUUGUGGAAUUAAGUACUCAAUUUGUUGACUUAUUUUUUUGACUUAUUUUGGUAUAAUUUUCUUCUCAUAAAAAAGAGAGAAAUUUUGAUUUGAUAAAUACUCAUAUAAAUUUUCCUUAUCUUUUGUAUAUCAAUACAAAAUUUGAAUUUUCAUGUAUAAGCUUCGUAUGUUUUUUUCCUGCAAAUUUCAAAUACCAAACUAACUUGGCCACAUAAAUUGAAUUAGACUUCAUUUUAAUAUAAGAGUAUUUUUUUUUCAAAAAUCUGCAGUCCGAGAUGUUAAUAAAAAUUUACACUUGCAGUGGUUUAUGUAUGUAAUACAUGAUUUUUUCGGGAUACAAUGUAAAAGUCUGUAAAUUCUAAUUAUUGCAACAUAUAAAUGAGGAGAGAAUUGUGAGCGCGAUAAAUCUAAAAAAAGAUGUCGAUAGCUUUCACCCCUUAAUGUUGGAAAUCUUGCAAUGAGAGGAAGAGAACAUCUAUUCAUUCCUUGUGUUGCGAGAGCUUGCAUUGAAUUGCUUCUUCGCACAAGCAUUGAAUGUAUGGGAAAGCAUGUCGCCGUGAUUGGGCGAAGCAACAUCGUGGGUCUACCAACAACUUUAUUAUUGCAGAGCCUUCGGCAUCGGCGGAGGCACGGGAUCGCGGCAAGGGUGUCGCGUAGCUAGCUCGGAGAGAGUCCGUUUUGCGAUAGGUGGUUACUCCUUCUUUUGUUUGUGUUAGAGAGAGGGAAAGUUUUGGCAUCAUGUAUAGAGAGACCACCUUGUAUUCAGAUUAGUACUUGUUAUGGGACUCCUUUUGUAUUAUCUUAUGUUUUACUUGUGGAUUAUCAGUUCUAUGUUCUUCUC